AUUGAACGCUGGCGGCAGGCCUAACACAUGCAAGUCGAGCGGAGCGGCGUACGGGUGAGUAAUGCCUAGUAAUCUGCCUGGUAGUGGGGCAUAACUUCCGUAAACGGGCCCUAAUACCGCAUACUAUCAGAUGAGCCUAGGUGGUAUUAGCUAGUUGGUGUGGUAAAGUCCUACCAAGGCGACGAUCCGUAACUGGGCUGAGAGGAGGAUCAGUCACACUGGAAAUGAAACACGGUCCGGACUCCUACGGGAGGCGGGAGUGGGGAGUGUAGGACAAUGGGAGAAGGGCUGGUCUGGCCCUGCCGAGUGUGUGAAAGAAGUCGUCGGAUUUUAAAGCUCAUUAGGUUGUGAGGCGUUACCAAAUGAAUAAGCACCGGCUAACUUCGUGCCAGCCGCCGCGGUAAUAC
rnacentral:rRNA from 1 species